rnacentral:rRNA from 1 species
UACAGAGGGUGCAAGCGUUGUUCGGAAUUAUUGGGCGUAAAGCGCGUGUAGGCGGCUUUGCAAGUCGGGUGUGAAAGCCCUCAGCUCAACUGAGGAAGUGCGCCCGAAACUGCAGAGCUUGAGUGCCGGAGAGGGUGGCGGAAUUCCCCAAGUAGAGGUGAAAUUCGUAGAUAUGGGGAGGAACACCAGUGGCGAAGGCGGCUCACUGGACCGGAACUGACGCUGAGGCGCGAAAGCGUGGGGAGCAAACAGG